rnacentral:tRNA from 1 species
AAGAUAGCCUAACUGGAUUAAUGACUUCUAAUCAUAUAAGUGUUAAAUAAUCAUAACAAUAUCUUUC